rnacentral:rRNA from 1 species
UACGUAGGGGGCUAGCGUUGUCCGGAUUCAUUGGGCGUAAAGAGCGUGUAGGCGGCCAGGUAGGUCGGUUGUGAAAACUGGAGGCUCAACCUUCAGAGGUCGACCGAAACCAUCUGGCUAGAGUCCGGGAGAGGAGAGUGGAAUUCCUGGUGUAGCGGUGAAAUGCGCAGAUAUCAGGAAGAACACCUAUGGCGAAGGCAGCUCUCUGGGACGGUACUGACGCUGAGACGCGAAAGCGUGGGGAGCGAACAGG